rnacentral:rRNA from 1 species
CACGUAGGCGGAUCAGAAAGUCAGAGGUGAAAUCCCAGGGCUCAACCUUGGAACUGCCUUUGAAACUCCUGAUCUUGAGGUCGAGAGAGGUGAGUGGAAUUCCGAGUGUAGAGGUGAAAUUCGUAGAUAUUCGGAGGAACACCAGUGGCGAAGGCGGCUCACUGGCUCGAUACUGACGCUGAGGUGCGAAAGCUGGGGGAGCGAACA